rnacentral:rRNA from 1 species
CCUACGGGUGGCAGCAGUGAGGAAUAUUGGUCAAUGGUCGGGAGACUGAACCAGCCAAGCCGCGUGAGGGAUGAAGGUACAGAGUAUCGUAAACCUCUUUUGUCAGGGAACAAAGGCGGGGACGUGUCCCCGGAUGAGUGUACCUGAAGAAAAAGCAUCGGCUAACUCCGUGCCAGCAGCCGCGGUAAUACGGGGGAUGCGAGCGUUAUCCGGAUUUAUUGGGUUUAAAGGGUGCGCAGGCGGUCUGUUAAGUCAGCGGUAAAAGCCCGGGGCACAACCCCGGCCCGCCGUUGAAACUGGCAGUCUCGAGUUGGAGAGAAGUAUGCGGAAUGCGCGGUGUAGCGGUGAAAUGCGUAGAUAUCGCGCAGAACUCCGAUUGCGAAGGCAGCAUGCCGGCUCCACACUGACGCUGAGGCACGAAAGCGUGGGUAUCGAACAGGAUUAGAUACCCUUGUAGUC